AGUUGAUAUGUCCGAGCGGUUAAGGAGAGGGACUUGACAUCCGUUGGGCUACGCUCGCGCUGGUUCGAACCCUGCUGUCGAUGAUAUCG
rnacentral:tRNA from 1 species